rnacentral:rRNA from 1 species
AUUGAACGCUGGCGGCAGGCCUAACACAUGCAAGUCGAACGGAGUGGCGAACGGGUGAGUAACACGUGGGUGACCUGCCCUGCACUUCGGGGUAAGCCUGGGAAAAUGGGUCUACUCCCGGGUAGGGUGGGAUGGGCCCGCGGCCUAUCAGCUUGUUGGUGGGGUAAUGGCCUACCAAGGCGGCGACGGGUAGCCGGCCUGAGAGGGAGGACGGCCACAUUGGGACUGAGACACGGCCCAGACUCCUACGGGAGGCAGCAGUGGGGAAUAUUGCACAAUGGGCGGAAGCCUGAUGCAGCGACGCCGCGUGGGGGAUGACGGCCUUCGGGUUGGAAACUCCUUUCACCAUCGACGCGGUAGAUGGAGAAGAAGCACCGGCUAACUACGUGCCAGCAGCCGCGGUAAUAC